rnacentral:rRNA from 1 species
GACGAACGCUGGCGGCGUGCCUAAUACAUGCAAGUCGAACGCUUUUUCUUUCACCGGAGCUUGCUCCACCGAAAGAAAAAGAGUGGCGAACGGGUGAGUAACACGUGGGUAACCUGCCCAUAAGAAGGGGAUAACACUUGGAAACAGGUGCUAAUACCGUAUAACGCUAUUUUCCGCAUGGAAGAAAGUUGAAAGGCGCUUUUGCGUCACUGAUGGAUGGACCCGCGGUGCAUUAGCUAGUUGGUGAGGUAACGGCUCACCAAGGCAACGAUGCAUAGCCGACCUGAGAGGGUGAUCGGCCACACUGGGACUGAGACACGGCCCAGACUCCUACGGGAGGCAGCAGUAGGGAAUCUUCGGCAAUGGACGAAAGUCUGACCGAGCAACGCCGCGUGAGUGAAGAAGGUUUUCGGAUCGUAAAACUCUGUUGUUAGAGAAGAACAAGGAUGAGAGUAAACUGUUCAUCCCUUGACGGUAUCUAACCAGAAAGCCACGGCUAACUACGUGCCAGCCGCCGCGGUAA